rnacentral:rRNA from 1 species
GACGAACGCUGGCGGUGUGCCUAACACAUGCAAGUCGAACGGUAAGGCCCUUUCGGGGGUACACGAGUGGCGAACGGGUGAGUAACACGUGAGUAACCUGCCCUCAUCUCUGGGAUAACAGUCGGAAACGGUUGCUAAUACUGGAUAUGAGCUUGCAAGGCAUCUUGUGGGUUGGAAAGAUUUUUUUGGUUGGGGAUGGACUCGCGGCCUAUCAGCUUGUUGGUGAGGUAGUGGCUCACCAAGGCUUCGACGGGUAGCCGGCCUGAGAGGGCGACCGGCCACAUUGAGACUGGGAUACGGCCCAAACUCCUACGGGAGGCAGCAGUGGGGAAUAUUGCACAAUGGACGGAAGUCUGAUGCAGCAACGCCGCGUGCGGGAUGACGGCCUUCGGGUUGUAAACCGCUUUCAAUUGUGACGAAGCUUUUUGUGACGGUAGCAGUAGAAGAAGCACCGGCUAACUACGUG